rnacentral:rRNA from 1 species
GUGCCAGCCGCCGCGGUAAUACCGGCAGCUCGAGUGAUGGCCGAUCUUAUUGGGCCUAAAGCGUCCGUAGCUGGCUGCGCAAGUCCGUCGGGAAAUCCGCUCGCCCAACGAGUGGGCGUCCGGCGGAAACUGCUCGGCUUGGGACCGGAGGACCCGAGGGGUACGUCCGGGGUAGGAGUGAAAUCCCGUAAUCCCGGACGGACCGCCGGUGGCGAAAGCGCCUCGGGAGGACGGAUCCGACGGUGAGGGACGAAAGCUAGGGUCUCGAACCGGAUUAGAUACCCGAGUAGUCC